rnacentral:rRNA from 1 species
CACGAUGUCAUUAAUUUGGUGUCGUGGGAAAUCAGGACUGUUACUUUGAAAAAAUUAGAGUGUUUAAAGCAGGCUCGCGCUUGAAUACAUUAGCAUGGAAUAAUGAAAUAGGACGUUUGAUUCUAUUUUGUUGGUUUCUAGGAUCGACGUAAUGAUUAAUAGGGAUAGCUGGGGGCAUUAGUAUUCAAUUGUCAGAGGUGAAAUUCUUGGAUUUAUUGAAGACUAACUACUGCGAAAGCAUUUGCCAAGGAUGUUUUCAUUAAUCAAGAACGAAAGUUAGGGGAUCGAAGACGAUCAGAUACCGUCGUAGUCUUAACCAUAAACUAUGCCGACUAGGGAUCGGAUGAUGUUAAUUUUUUAAUGACUCAUUCGGCGCCUUACGGGAAACCAAAGUGUUUGGGUUCCGGGGGGGGUAUGGUCGCAAGGCUGAAACUUAAAGGAAUUGACGGAAGGGCACCACCAGGCGUGGAGCCUGCG